rnacentral:sRNA from 1 species
AAAUAUACUCAUUGUGUAAAUAACACACACGGGCCGGCACAUACACCGGGGUGCUCUCAUGCAGAAUAUGCGGUUAGGAGUCGGUGUUAUGGGGUUCGUGGAGGCAUAACC